UCGAUCAGCUAUAAAUAAAACAAGAGUCUACUGCUACAAAAAUUGAAACAUCUGAAAAAUAUUUUUGAGUAAGUCAGGUUAGGUUCGAUUAAGUUAGGUUAAUUUUACUUGAAACGACCUUUUGAACACGUGACAGUGCUGAAUCGUAGUAGGUAGUUCUGCCUAGUUAUUCGGGGUUAGUCUCAAUUAUUUACUGCAUUGGGGCGCUGUAUGGUAGUAUGCUAUGUAAAAAAAACUUUUCCAAUACGCAGGCCAUUGAUGUACUGUAGAAAAAAAGGUCAGCUGGCAAGAGUGGGGCUCAACUGAAUGCAGAAAACCAGAUUCGAUCUCGGCAGGGCAGACACAGAAGAGUGCUACAUUGAUAACAUAGCAUGAAUUUCCUUGUUAAAAUAAUCCAUUUCAAAGUUGAAAGACACGUGGAAUGUUUUCCCCAAUGUAGUUACAACCUGAUCGGCAGUAAGUCUGCGACUAUCUUCAUCAGGCAAGUGAGCAACACAAAUAUAAGGCUUGAGAAAUAGGUAACUUAUGAAGCAUUUAAGAAAGAUCACCUCCAGUCACUGCAGGAUACUAACUGCAUCCAUCAUACAGGAGACGCUUCUCUGAUCCUCUCAAAACAAGAAGAACCUGGAAGGAAGCCCAAAACAAACGUUCUUGGUCCA